rnacentral:misc_RNA from 1 species
AAAACCUUUGCUAUUACUUCUAGUAAUAUAACUUAUGCAACAAAAUGGUGAAGUCUUGUGCUGUAUACAACUGUACAAAUAAUGUGAAGAAAUGUAAGGGUCUCAGCUUCCACCAUUUUCCCCUUGCAGACAAGAGAAGACUUAGAGAGUGGUUAGUAAAGAUUCGACGAGAGGAAUUUGCUCCAACUGUACACUCUGUAAUCUGCUCACAGCAUUUCGAGCCUUCAUGCUUCUGGAACAGUGCCAAUAAAAGACUUUUAAAGCCAUCGGCAAUUCCAACAAUUUUCAAUUUUCAAUUUUCCAGGAUCGCUAAAAAAGAAAGAAAAAAUGCGACCACCUCCAAGAAAACGAUCUGCAGCUACAGAUGCGGUGAGCGAUUUGUGUGAAGGAGGAGUCCAGGGAGAGGAAUCUAAAGUUUCUAGUGCUUCAAUUAAUAGCAUUCUACAUGAUCAUUGCUAUGAUAUUGAUAUUCAGAAUAAGCUUUCAAAAUGGAAAGUUGCUGAAGCAUUCAAUUGCGAUACUUGUAUGGGGGCUUUGUUCUGUGGAUAUUCCUCUUCAGAACACCAUCUUUUUAUUAAUAGGAAGGACAAUGGGGGGCUUGCAUAUCCCUCUCCAAGCGUGAUUAUUAUUUGUAAGGUUACUGAAAAGAACUUGAGAUGUGUAAGCUCUCAACAGAUGAAGAGGAAUGCAAUGGCAAUGCAUAUCCUUAAACAAUGCAAUUUUCAUACUUUGUUUGAAAGCCUCAAUGAGCACAUUUUUGAAAAUGAAUUUCCAAAUAAUCAUGUAGUUUUACUAUCCAAGAAAAUCAUUGAACUUUA